CCUACGGGAGGCAGCAGUAAGGAAUAUUGGUCAAUGGACGCAAGUCUGAACCAGCCAUGCCGCGUGCAGGAUGAAGGCCCUCUGGGUUGUAAACUGCUUUUAUAGGGGACGAAAAAGGGACUUUCUAGUUCAACUGACGGUACCCUAGGAAUAAGCACCGGCUAACUCCGUGCCAGCAGCCGCGGUAAUACGGAGGGUGCAAGCGUUAUCCGGAUUUACUGGGUUUAAAGGGUGCGUAGGUGGGUCGGUAAGUCAGCGGUGAAAUCUUCAAGCUUAACUUGGAAACUGCCAUUGAUACUAUCGAUCUUGAAUCAUCUGGAGGUAAGCGGAAUAUGUCAUGUAGCGGUGAAAUGCUUAGAUAUGACAUAGAACACCAAUUGCGAAGGCAGCUUACUACGGAUGUAUUGACACUGAGGCACGAAAGCGCGGGGAUCAAACAGGAUUAGAUACCCUGGUAGUCCACGCCCUAAACGACUAGAUACUACGACACUACGUAGUAUAUACUAUGUGUGUNUGNGNGAAGAGAUAAGUAUACCACCGCGGUAAGGUAGAGUUGCGAGAGUUAGUAAGACAANAGAGUUAGAGGCGNGAGAGNGCGACGGACGACGACGAGGGAGGAGG
rnacentral:rRNA from 1 species